UUAUUGAAUGAAUAUUAAUUAUUUUUUCUUAUUUUAUAUCUAGGUGAAGUGAAACAUCAAAAGUUUAGGAUAAAAAUUAUAUUAAAAGAUAAUUCAAGACAGUGUCAUCACCACGCGCGUGUCAUAUAAAUCUAAUUAUAGUGGAUGAGUUUCAUAAAUCUCUAUUGAAGACAAUAAUUUACAAAUUUCUUCUUCAAAUUCUUUUGUGCAACUAUAUUCCAAGAAUAAUUGGAUCAGUAGUACCAGUGUUUAAGUUAGUUUAAGAAGAGCCUGGAAGAUUAAGUCUAGAUAUCCUUUCAAUAAUGAUGUUCAACUUCUACAUAAUUGGACAUAAGACAUCAUGGAUGUGAAUUACAUGGAAGAAGAUUUUCUUAUUUUAUCUUUUUUACAAUUGUGCUUAUUGCUGUUAUUAGAAGAAAGGAAUCGAAAAAAGAGAUGGUUAAAUAGGAGAUGGUGGGUGAGACCCAUCAACGUUGCACGUCCUCUGUAUGGGGACUUUGAACAUCUCUUUAACGAAUUGAAAUAUAAUGAUAUCGAUGUAUUUUUUCGAUAUGCAAGAAUGAGGAAAGAAACGUUUAAUCAUUUAUUACAAAUGACAAAGCCUUUUUUAACUAAAUUGAGCAAAAGAGCUUUUAGUCCAGAACAACGAUUGAUCAUAACUCUGAGAUAUUUAGCAACUGGGGAUCAAAUAUUGUCUAUUGCCCUAGCUUUUAGAUGUGGAGAGUCAACAGUCCGAAAAAUUAUUCAUGAAACUUGUUCAGUAAUAGUAAAAAUAUUGCAACCAAUUUACCUUCGUCUACCAAGAGAAGAAGAAUGGAAAAAUAUUUGCACUGGUUUUCUGGAAAAUUGGAAUUUUCCUCAUUGUGUUGGAUCAUUUGAUGGGAAACACGUGGAAAUACAAGCUCCGCCAAAUUCUGGAAGCUUAUUUUUUAACUAUAAAAAGACAUUUAGUAUUGUAUUGAUGGCUGCAUGUGAUCACAGAUAUAGAUUCACAUUAGUCGAUGUAGGUUCGUAUGAUGGUAAUAGCGAUGGUGGAAAUUUUACUUCUUCUGAUAAUCAU